rnacentral:rRNA from 1 species
UAGGGAAUCUUCCGCAAUGGACGCAAGUCUGACGGAGCAACGCCGCGUGAGUGAAGAAGGAUUUCGGUUCGUAAAACUCUGUUGUUAGAGAAGAACAGCGCAUAGAGUAACUGUUAUGCGUGUGACGGUAUCUAACCAGAAAGCCACGGCUAACUACGUGCCAGCAGCCGCGGUAAUACGUAGGUGGCAAGCGUUGUCCGGAUGUAUUGGGCGUAAAGCGAGCGCAGGCGGUCAAUUAAGUCUGAUGUGAAAGCCCCCGGCUCAACCGGGGAAGGUCCUUGGAAACUGGUUGACUUGAGUCCAGCAGCGGAGAGUGGAAUUCCAUGUGUAGCGGUGAAAUGCGUAGGUAUAUGGAGGAACACCAGUGGCGAAGGCGACUCUCUGGUCUGUAACUGACGCUGAGGCUCGAAAGCGUGGGUAGCAAACAGG